GACGCAGGAGGCAAGCGCUCUCCGGAAUUAUUGGGCGUAAAGGGUACGUAGGCGGCUGGUCAAGUCUGGGGUCAAAGGCCACAGCUCAACUGUGGGAAGGCCCUGGAAACUGACCGGCUAGAGUGAGGUAGGGGUUGCGGGAAUUCCCGGUGUAGCGGUGAAAUGCGUAGAGAUCGGGAAGAACACCUGAGGCGGAAGCGCGCAACUGGGCCUCAACUGACGCUGAGGUACGAAAGCUAGGGGAGCGAAUGGG
rnacentral:rRNA from 1 species